rnacentral:misc_RNA from 1 species
UUAAUAUCUCACCAAGUUAUGGGUGGAAGCUCAUAACAAGGUGGAAUUUGGAUGUUUUUGUCUCUGUACAAUCAUCUCAAAGUGAUCGUAUGUGCUUGAGUGUGCUCUGGCAGUUGGGUACCAACGUGCAACAGAUUUUAUCUUUUCGCUUUGGUAUUUAAUUGAAAUCAGGCACCUGAAGUGUAUAUUUGCUGGCUUACAGAUGUUAUGCAUAAUGCAUGUAUGGCUUCUGAUA